rnacentral:rRNA from 1 species
AGUGAACGCUGGCGGUAGGCCUAACACAUGCAAGUCGAACGGCAGCACAGUAAGAGCUUGCUCUUACGGGUGGCGAGUGGCGGACGGGUGAGGAAUACAUCGGAAUCUACUUUUUCGUGGGGGAUAACGUAGGGAAGCUUACGCUAAUACCGCAUACGACCUACGGGUGAAAGCAGGGGAUCUUCUGACCUUGCGCGAUUGAAUGAGCCGAUGUCGGAUUAGCUAGUUGGCGGGGUAAAGGCCCACCAAGGCGACGAUCCGUAGCUGGUCUGAGAGGAUGAUCAGCCACACUGGAACUGAGACACGGUCCAGACUCCUACGGGAGGCAGCAGUGGGGAAUAUUGGACAAUGGGCGCAAGCCUGAUCCAGCCAUACCGCGUGGGUGAAGAAGGCCUUCGGGUUGUAAGGCCCUUUUGUUGGGAAAGAAAAGCAGCAGGUUAAUACCCCGCUGUUCUGACGGUACCCAAUGAAUAAGCACCGGCUAACUUCGUG